GGGCGUAAGAGCUCGUAGGUCGUUUGUUACGUCGGAUGUGAAAACCUGAGGCUCAACCUCAGGCCUGCAUUCGAUACGGGCAAACUAGAGUUUGGUAGGGGAGACUGGAAUUCCUGGUGUAGCGGUGGAAUGCGCAGAUAUCAGGAGGAACACCAAUGGCGAAGGCAGGUCUCUGGGCCAAUACUGACACUGAGGAGCGAAAGUCUGGGGAGCGAACAGGAUUAGAUACCCUGGUAGUCCAGACCGUAAACGGUGGGCACUAGUUGUGGGAACCUUCCACGGUUUCUGCGACGCAGCUAACGCAUUAAGUGCCCCGCCUGGGGAGUACGAUCGCAAGAUUAAAACUCAAAGGAAUUGACGGGGCCCCGCACAAGCAGCGGAGCAUGCGGCUUAAUUCGACGCAACGCGAAGAACCUUACCAAGGCUUGACAUAUAGGGAAAAGUGGCAGAGAUGUCAUGUCCGCAAGGGCUCUAUACAGGUGGUGCAUGGUUGUCGUCAGCUCGUGUCGUGAGAUGUUGGGUUAAGUCCCGCAACGAGCGCAACCCUCGUUCUGUGUUGCCAGCAUUUAGUUGGGGACUCACAGGAGACUGCCGGGGUUAACUCGGAGGAAGGUGGGGAUGACGUCAAAUCAUCAUGCCCCUUAUGUCUUGGGCUGCACGCAUGCUACAAUGGCCGGUACAGAGGGCUGCAAUACCGUAAGGUGGAGCGAAUCCCAAAAAGCCGGUCUCAGUUCGGAUUGAGGUCUGCAACUCGACCUCAUGAAGUUGGAGUUGCUAGUAAUCGUAGAUCAGCAACGCUACGGUGAAUACGUUCCCGGGGCU
rnacentral:rRNA from 1 species